UAAAACUUGAACAUGUAUAGACUG
rnacentral:piRNA from 1 species